GAUGAACGCUAGCUACAGGCUUAACACAUGCAAGUCGCGGGGCAGCAUGGGGGUUGCUUGCAACUCCCGAUGGCGACCGGCGCACGGGUGAGUAACGCGUAUCCAACCUGCCCUUCACCACGGGAUAACCCGGCGAAAGUCGGACUAAUACCGUAUGUUGUCCAUUGACGGCAUCCGAUUUGGACGAAAGGCUUUGCGGUGAAGGAUGGGGAUGCGUCCGAUUAGCCAGACGGCGGGGUAACGGCCCACCGUGGCUACGAUCGGUAGGGGUUCUGAGAGGAAGGUCCCCCACACUGGAACUGAGACACGGUCCAGACUCCUACGGGAGGCAGCAGUGAGGAAUAUUGGUCAAUGGGCGUAAGCCUGAACCAGCCAAGUAGCGUGCAGGAUGACGGCCCUAUGGGUUGUAAACUGCUUUUAUGCGGGGAUAAAGUGGCCCACGGGUGGGCUUUUGCAGGUACCGCAUGAAUAAGGACCGGCUAAUUCCGUG
rnacentral:rRNA from 1 species